AACGAACGCUGGCGGCAUGCCUAACACAUGCAAGUCGAACGAGAACAGCGCGUCUGGGGGUGCACGGUUGCGUAAGGGGGGGUAACACACCGGUACGUUCCGAAUAACGGCGGGUAAGUGCUGCUAAUAGCGGAUAAUACCUCCGGACAAAAGAGUAAUAGCGCUUGGAAGGGCCCGAGUUGGAUCAACUAGUUGGGAGGGUAAAAGCCUACGAAGGCGACGAUCCAUAAGUGGACUGAGAGGAUGAUCCGCCACACUGGGACUGAGACACGGCGCCGACUCCUACGGGAGGCAGCAGAGGGGAAUAUUGCACAAUGGGGGAAAGCAUGAUGCAGCAAGGCCGCGUGAGUGAUGAAGGCCUGAGGGUUGUAAAGCUCUCUUAUCCGGGAUGAUAAUGACGGUACCGGAAGAAUAAGCACCGGCUAACUACGUG
rnacentral:rRNA from 1 species